AUGAGUCUAAUUUGCGUGUCAUCUGCCCAUCGGGAAGAAAAACACUCCAAGUUCAAAUCAGUCCGUCCUCGACAGUGGGGAGACUUCUCGCUGGAUUCAAUGUUAAUAUCGAUUCGGCAGCAGUCGCUUGCACCGAGCAAGGUCCCUGUCAAAAUGGAGGAAAGGAAGUCGUUGCUCAAGGAUACAUUGCAUCAUGCGAUUGUCCCUUUGGUAUAAGUACUCGUUAUUGUGAAUAUCAGUGCAUGACACGCUCUAGACAUAUUUUUGACUUGGGGACUUUUCCACUGCGAAAGCUUGAGAGUUCUAGAUCUCGUGUCGCAUUCACACAUCGUGGUCAAGGCACCCUUAUUAUCCUAGCAAAGGAGACGACUUGCAGACCAUCGAAUACAAUGGUGGUAUUUGGGAUAUGUCAACAAGGAAAAUUGAACAUGUUAAGAACUGUGUUCGACCGUGUUUAUAUUGAAUUCAAUGGAGGGAAUGAUGAGGAGAUAAGAUGUGAUGGCACAGGUGAUAACCGGUAUUGGAUAGAUUUCAAGGAUAAUUUAUAUAAACUAGGCCAUAUCGGCGAUCCCCAACCUCUAAUGCAAUGGACAGACGACCUACUAUUUGACAUAACAUAUGUUGGAAUCUUUCAAAACACAGCCAAUUCAAUGACAACUUUUGUGAAUUUCGACAUUCCAUGUAGUUUAAGACCAUGAAGAGAUGUUAGUUCAUUUUAUGAGUUUUAUUAACCCUUAAUCGCCGGAGGAAUCACCCCCCCCAACACCCAUAUAUUCCGCGACCAUUCCGCUGCCGGUGAGUGAAAUUUUUCGACCACGCCGCUCGCUAACCUUUUGUCGUGCAUCUUUUGGGACCACGAUGCCCGGGUAUGCGGCUGAAAAAUUACGCAACAUUACGUAGGUCCGUGUCAAAACCAAAAUUUGUCCUGAAACAUGUAAAACGUGAUUUUGUGUCCAAAAUGUAAAUUAGUUUUCUCAUAUGAUUGUUUUUACCUUCAUCACCUGAAAUUAAUUGAUUUGAGCAUCAUUAUGCUUUAAAAAAGUUUCUGCUCUCAAUUUGGCGAAAAACGAAGAAAAAUCAAAAGGUCGAAAAACUCAGAGAUGCAUAAGAAAUUGAUUAAACAGUGAAAUACAUAAGACAUUCAUUUUCAAACCAUUUUUGUUAAUUUGUAACAGUUAGCAAUGUAUAAUAACAAGAAAUUAGAUCUAAAAGCAAAAUUUACGCAUAAAGUAGCAUAAUCAAUUCCUAUAAAAAUAUCAUUUAUAUAAUUAACCAUGCAGCCUUAAUUCAUAUGAAAAAACCCUAAUUUAGAUAUUAACCAUGCAGCCUUGUAUAAAUCUGACUCAGUUAUCAUGUCAAUUUUCCGCUCGAUCGGUGGCCGACUUUCAAGGUGUGUGAUGGGGGGGGGGGGGUGAUAAAACCCGCAAAGCUAACACCAAAAAAGUCCCACCAGGUUAUAAGAUAACGCCACAGGGACAAAUCAUGUGAUAUCGAACACCUUUCGAUUUUUUUGCCAGAAAUUAGAAACAAAGAUAAAUGGUCGAAGGUAACCUUACAUUGCGUAAUUCUUGAAAUGCCAUAGAUCAAACAGUGGGUGAUUUCAAAUCCGGUGUUGGCGUUGAUUGCUUCCCCUAGCUCCAAAACCUAUUCUGAGUUUGUA